CGACGCCGGCCGGCGCACACCGCACACAGCCCGUGCCGCCCGCGCCGCCCGCGCUGAAAACUUCGUGAAGUGACACCGGCAUGUAUCGGAUUACGCAAGUGUGCUAGCUAUAAAAAUAUUAAAGAUUCCUGACCCAUAACGUUGAGCACGGCGUUUAAAGCUUCAUAAGACAAUGUUGAAAAAAUGUUUAAAGAUGCAGAAUACGUUACUGUAAAUGACGAAAAUGAUUACCCAGUAAGAGAACACGCAGAAUGCAACCUGGGAGUUCCGGACUAACGUGAUGCAACUUGUAAUGCUAAACUUCUUAAUCAUGUUCGACAUAGUGUUCAUAUUUUUUCUGUUUCUAAUUGCGGUUACUUGUGUGAUGAACUACAUGCCUGGGAAGAGCAAGAGGCAGGAGGUGAUUGAGGAGGAGGUGGACAAUGACGUCAUCCCGCCGCCCCCGCUGUUCGAUGACGAUUGCCUGCCGUCGACCAGCCGCGACACUUAUGUCGUCAUUCCACCACCGUUGGACCACGUGGCUAAUGCUAAAGACGGGUGUCCUAUACACGUGGUGUAGUAUACCUAAGCACUGAAUAAUAUAUCAACGUAGGAGUUUAUUACAAAGAAGCCUUAUGAGAAUGUAGAUGACAAAAACAAAAUGUAGGCAUUUUUUACCAAAUCGUCAUGUAUAAGUAAAAUUUCUUGUUACGUAAGACUAAAAGGUGGAAUUUUUGGGACUCAAAAGAAAGGUAUGUACUAACAAAUGACUCGGUUGUUCAAUAGGUUUGUCGAAGCGCUACCAAGAUAUUUACAGAUACGCUCUUUUGCGUCAAGUGCGAUAUUUAAGUACUUACUUGUUAUUUUGAGUCGAUAUAAGUAGAUACAUUUACCGAGUAAGGAACCGAUUGUAUAGUUUUAACACGUAACGCCUAAUUGUUGAACAACUUUAAAUUAGUUAGCAAACUGAUCUCUAUUAUUUUAGCCUAUGCAACUUAUAUCGUGCCCUCGAGUUGGGUAUUAUAGACAGUAGAAGCAAGUUUGUUAAAAAUCACAGUUUUCUUUUGCUAUCGUACCCAAGGUACUUUCAAUGCAAAGUGUUCACAAUUCAUGUUUUUGCAAGUGCUUCUUUAAAAUAAAGGUGACUGAUUCAUAGGUAACAUAGAUAAGGUUUAUAUAUUAUGUUAAUAGUUAACUAAAAUUGUAUGCUAUAACGAUGUUAAGCCGGCAUUUUGUAAAGGUUAUAAAUUAUUAAUAUAUUAUACUAUUUAUUUUGAUUGUGAAAUAAAAUUGUAGUACCUAGUAAUUUUAUGUGAAAGUUAAAUUUAAUGUAAAGUGAAUCUAGUAAAACGCUAAGGACUCUGUUGCCGGCUCAAGGCCUAAAAGAUUGAUAACCUCACAUUUCAGAUUUAAGUUAGUUUCACCUCGUAUAAUUUAUACGAAAAUACUACUGGAUAACAAAAAAUAAAUAAAUUAAGGAGAAACAUCCAUCAAUCUCUACACUGGAAUAAAUUCUCAUUUUUAUUCAUGUAAUAAAAAGUUGGAGGUGGCGGGACGACUUAGACACCUUCACUAAUAACUGGCCGGAAAAAGCUGAACAAUCGCGGAGAAUCCAGGAGUCAUGGAAAUCAAGGGGAGAGGCCUUUGCCCAGCAGUGGGAGACUAGGUUUAUUUUCAGCGCAAUAAAUGUCAUGCAUCAAAAGAGGUAUACUGAACUAGUUUCUGUCCGCGCUUCGUCUGUGUGAAAUGAUGAUGAUUGAUAAAAACGAUCCUAUGUCCUUCCCCUGACCUCAAACUAUCUGCGUAAGUACCAAAUUUCAUCUAAAUCGAUUUAGCGAUUUUUGCGUGAAGGGGUAACAGAUAGACAGACAUACAGACAGAGUUACUUUCGCAUGUGUUUGUAAUAUAACAUUUGAAAUACUUAACUGGCUUCAAACACAUAGUUGUCAUAAAUCUGUCUCUUUCAAUAUUUUCGGUAAAAAGGAAGGAAAUACGAUUUCAUUUUAGCAGUGGAUAUAUUUGCAUUCAUAUUUUGUAUAUUCUAACCUAACCCUUACUAAGCUGAUUUUGAUGAAUGAGAUGUCAAUAGACUACUUUUUACAGCUCGGAUGAGAUAGGCUACAUUUUUAUUUGAUUUCUAAAGCCGUUAAGUCGGGAAAACUUUUUACUUGUAGGUGUACCUAUACUCGUACCUAUUGAACGUGCUGAAGGAUUUUUCACAUAAUUAUUAUCACAUCUGAUUUCAUACAACCUAUAAAGUUUUCUGGAUUCGACCUAGUUUCAUAGAUAAUUCAAUUUUUUUUUGUCAUCAUGACAGCGAAAAACGCCGUUUUGAUAACAAUUGCUCGAUUCAUAACUUGAAAAGAUAACAAACUCAUAUAUUAUUUUUUGGUUCAUUUUAGCCGGGAAUGCAUGGUUAAAAUUCAUUGGGUUCCUCUCGGAUACCUUGUACUUAUACUUAUUUUUCGAACUAUAAUUUAUUGUUGGGUAUGUUCUGUUUUAUAACGUUUCGUUUAAAAUAAGUGAGUGAUCUGUUAUUAAUAUAUUUAAUAUGUCUGUCUCAUGCACGGAAGUUUUGUUAUUAAAAAAGUUUCGUUUAAAGUUUUAUUUUACGAUCUUUUUUGAGAGUAUAUUCAUUUGUGACAAUAAGAACCCAAUAGAUUAAUUAACAGGAAAUAAUCACGAAAGAAGCUAGUAAUGUUUACAGAUAUCCCGCAUUAGAACUGUCUGGUGUGUACUUACUAUGCACCUAUUUACUUAUAAGCGAUAGAAGUAAGAUUAUCAUAAUAAAUAAUAAAAACGACAAUACAUGUAUUACGAAAAGUUUCUCAUAUCAUUUGAAUUAAGUAAAAUAAAAUAAAACUGCAUACCAAACUUAGAUCUUUAGUUCAAUUAUGUCUAUUAGAUUAAUAGUUUCAAAAUAAAUUAUAUUAUACAAUUUAUUUAUGUGACUGCAUAAAAACAUGCGACGGAAAAAAAUAUAUUAAAUCACUUGACUCUUUUAAAGGCACAUUGUGGUUACGUUUAUUGUGUGAAAAAGACAGGAAAAAGCAUCGUCCUUUUCUAUCAUUGCUUAAUUAACCUAAAAUGCAUAGUGUAGGAUGCAGCCUACACAAUCCAAACAUCAAAUUUUAUACCUAAUUAGAUAAAAUGUAUUUGUUCCUAUAUAUUAUUUCAAUAGUAAAACUAAUUCGUUUUCCGAUUUUUUACUUAAAUUUUCGCAAAAGUUAUAAAAAUUACAUUCGUUUUAAGACGAAAUGUCGGAAAAUUUUAAAGAAUCCAGAAUUUGAUAAUUUUAAGUAUGUGAUUUUGGACAAUUUUAUUUCGGGUUGUGUAAUUAAUUUAUAUUUAAAAACUUUAUCAUAGGUGUAUCACAAAUAGUGUAUCUUUCUGAUGCUAGUAAGAUUAUUCAUAUAUCUCUCUACUGAAAUUUAUAUAUUAACAUAAAUAAAUAAAUAUAUCAGCAAAAAAUUACGUAACACAUAUAUUAAUUUCGGGCAAAAAGAAAAAAAAACAUGUAUUUAAGGGUUAAAAGAAACGAGAAGUUUAUCUUGUAUUUAUCAGGUUAACCAUAAUACGCCUAUUUAACAUUGAAAUAGCAAAAUCACUAGCAAGAUUUUAUACAUUUAUGAAUUUUAUUUGAUUUAUAGUUAAAUAAAAAUGUAUCCGUUAGAGUUAAGUUUCAAUACUUAGGUCACAAGUAAAUCAAGAAUAAAUUACACUAUGUGAUAUAUACACAAUUUUUAAAUUGUAGCUAUGGAGGAGAUAUUGUUUUUAAUUUGUUAUUAUACGAGUGUCCCGAAGACGCUUACUAUUGAUGUAAUAAUAAAGUGCACUACAGCAGUGUCGUCAUAUCAGAA